rnacentral:rRNA from 1 species
UACGUAGGGGGCAAGCGUUGUCCGGAAUCAUUGGGCGUAAAGCGCGUGUAGGCGGCCCGGUAAGUCCGCUGUGAAAGUCGGGGGCUCAACCCUCGAAUGCCGGUGGAUACUGUCGGGCUAGAGUGCGGGAGAGGCGAGUGGAAUUCCUGGUGUAGCGGUGAAAUGCGCAGAUAUCAGGAGGAACACCAAUUGCGAAGGCAGCUCGCUGGAACGUAACUG